CAUGCUGUGUGUGGUACCCUACUGCAGACAGUGGCAAUCAUGUAUAAUUAAAAAUGAUUGGUACGUCUGUGGGUAGAGUACUGCAUGACACAUG
ensembl:miRNA